ensembl:lncRNA
AGCUCAGAGAGGAGAAAGAAGUUUCUUACGGAAGAAAGAAGCUCAAGCAAUAAAGAACAUGGCUUGGCUAUUCCAGCGCUGAAAAGGCAAUGUUCUGAGUGUCAUUGAAUCGCAGCCUCUAAGAGCUGCUGCUGCUGUACUCUGAGCCAACGACUUCAGUGACCUCCCAGUGAUGAUUACAAGAAACCUUUUCUGAGUACUCAGCCUGUUCCACAUUCAAUGUCAUGAUCACUGGUGAAAAUGUUGGAUGAAACCAGUCUGACAUCCAGACAUUACUGUUUACUUCACCACCUUGAAAAGUGACAGUUACACCUUUACUUUUGCUCCUUAUUCUACCAUGAGGCCAUAAAAUGACCUAUCCUCCAAUCCCAUGGGAAUUUAACUUCUUUAAUAGUUUUUGGUGAAGAGUAUUUUUGAAGAAUUUUUGAAAAGCCAACUGUAUGAUGUCUGCCAGCAAUCUUUCUGUAAUUCAUGAAGUCCUCCUUGUCCUUCUAAAUCAUCAGCGUAUCAACUUACCAUAUGAAAACUUGGAAGCAUCUCUAAGUCGUAUGCUUUUCCUCAGCAGCUUUGUGCAAGAGGUAGUCCAGGUUCCCAUUCCAUGUAACGUAUCUGCCAACAGAAGGUAAGUGAUUGAGCCUAAUUUAAGGUGCAUUUUGUAUAUCAAUAAUCCAGAGCAUUUUCUUAGGUGGCAUAUUAAUAAAUGAAUACAGAAGCUGAACAAAUACUUAACUUGUAAAAGCUGAUUGUUUUAGGUCUACUCAAAAGAAAAUUCUGUGGUUUCAUCAGAACAGAAAAUAACAACGUUAAGUCAAACUAAAUGGUCUUGAAAUUAGUUGUUAGAUUUCCAUAUACUGUCAUGUCAUCUUAAAUAGUUAACUUGGUUUUAAAUAAAGCAUUAUUUUAAAAU